rnacentral:rRNA from 1 species
GGAGGAGGGGGAGUUUCGGCGGUGUGGGUGGUAAGGGGAGAAGGCGGAGGAGGAAGGGCCUAGGCAUGAUGGCGUUGUGGGUGAGCAGAGGAGGAGAGAGAGAAGAUCGAAGGAGGAGGAAGUACUAGAGACGCAGCCGGCGUCGCACUCUCCUCGUCGCCGCUGCUACAGUUCAACGCUUCGCCACCGCGAACCCGCGCUCCGCCGUCUUCGUCGAUGGGGCCCGGGGCCAAACCCCCAAGCCAAGGUAUCGCGGCUGCCGAAGAGGCAGAUGUUGUGGCCCCGGUCGAUCACAAGCAGCACUGGUGUCGGCUGGUGGAGAGCAGCGAUCCCAGGUACUGCCGCCGGCCCAGUCCGAAUUCGCCUUGACGUCCUCCGGUACUUCCGGUGCCGCCGACGACCACCUUCGUCGCCCAAAACUUCCUCGCCAUCUACACCCAGGCGCCAACCCCUUCUGAGCGGCCGACCCGCUGCCGCUCGCGGCCACUACCGUUGCUUUCCUUCGGUCCGCAGCCCCAUGGCGUUGUUAAGCCCACGGACGCCGUACUGUCGUAACGUCUUCGUACGUCGCAAGAAGCUGCCGCUGUUCCUGCGCCAAAAAAAGGUAAGUUAAAAAAACCAAGGUACAAUAGACAUAGAACCACUUACAUGUUGCGAUUACAAGUCAAGUAACAGAGUCACAAAAAACCGCCUCCACACAAGAACAGAACGCUCCAAGUAGGUGGCAGCUGCUGUGGACGUUGAGCAAACCAUAUAAACCAAUUAGUAUUGGUCGUUUCUCCUCCUCAGCGUAUGCACGGACCAUAAGAAACACAACAUACUUCACAAGGAAGUUGAUUAGUUCGUUAGACUGUAAUCAUGAAACAAACUCGGUGGCGGCUUGCGAGUCGCUACCCAACUCAACCAACUCCACAUCCACCUCGUAAACGAGCGGCUCCUACCGUGCACGCGCUCGACUUCAUGCUGCGGCCGGUUGAAGCCGGAGACUCCGAAGGGACUGCGCGAGGAGAUGGUGAUGGAGGAGUUGUUGUUCCCGUUGAGACUACCGUCGGUCAACCUCAAACGAUACAAUGUAUACGUUCAGGAAAACUUUAGACUUUGAAGACACACCACUACUCAAAGACGAGUAGAACUAACUAAGUAGAGGUCACUUGCCCCUAAGCAGGAAGGUAACACGAGUCGGUGUUUGGCUAAACCUCCCCUUUAUCCUCUCGGACUGCUUAUACUCGUAUUAUAGAUACGUAUAAAACUCAAAAAAUUCGGAUCAUGAGAGAUAAAAAGUUAGAAUUUUAUCGUACGGUGUUCAAUUUUAUGUCUUUUAAUUCAGUGACUGGGUCAGACAUGUAUUAUAGAUACGUAUAAAACUCAAAAAAAAUUCUUAGAUAUACGAGUUUAUGAGUUAAACCGUGAACGGUAUGUCCGUUUUCACGAUGGAAUUUAAACAUCGAGACUAUUUUUUUAUUAAAGUUUGCAUAGACUACCAUUUUUUCUAUUACUGCCCUUUUGAUGUGUGGUAAGUAGGUUCACUUUCAGUCUCAAAGAGAAGACUUCUCAUGAAUGAUAUAUCUUGGUGUAGAAACAGUCCAAAUAAGACAUAUUGACCCUUAUGUACAAAGUCCUCGGAUAACAAAGACAACUAGCGUCAAUGAUAGAACACAUCCAACGUUAUAGACGGUCGAAACAUAAGAAAAACAGUUAAGACACAACCAUCCAACCAGGUAUGCCAUUUCGAAUUUUGAAGACUUUAUCUGUAGAUACCUAUACCUGUACGAUUUGUAAAAGUCCUUACAUUCUUCCGUCAUCAGAGAACUUUUCAGUAAACUAGAGCGUUCUCUCUUCGAAGGACCUUGUAAAUUAAUAAAAAGACAACACAAUAACUAAAGUGGUCAAAAUACAGUCGGCUAAUUAAGACUUCCUAAGAUUUGAAGGACUAUAUACAUAAAUCUCGUAAACGACUCUAAACUACGUUUUAUGAGUACCGGUCCGUAAUAUGACACGUAUUCGUGUUAAAAAGUCAAAAAGAAAAAGAACAACGCCGUCAAAAAGAUGUCGUUAUCGGUUAUCACACUGUAGUGUGAUGAGGUAAAAGUGUCCGGUACCUUGUUAUUUAUAGAACCGUUCCCUAUGGGAUACCAGAUGACAAUAUUGAUACACACGUGAAACCUAGAAAACCUACAGAACAAAUCGUAGGAAAAACUGUCUCAACUAAUUAAAUUAUCACUUUAUCAACCAAUACAGUCUACACAUUAUGACCAACACCAUAGAGUGUAAACAGUUUAUAAGUAUACAACGACCAUCAGUACGAAUACGGAUCCUAUAAUUCAUUGGAACACGAUACGACACUGAUUUAUUUUCGUUACAAAUCUGAAUAGAAAACAAAAGAGAUGAAUUUCUCAGGGCACAAAACGUCCCAGAUUGGUCCUUCCUAACACCCAAGUAUUAAAGUACGGUUCUGGGAUUUUCGUAAAAACAGAGAACGAAGCUGAUAGUAUAGAUAAAAGAGACAUUUAAGAUCUGGACGUCAAGUCUAAUACUAGAAACAUACGGGAAAAAAACAUGGAAGACUUCAUCCGAUUGUAAUGUUUUUUCUCGGUGUACAAAAUCUUUAACUUAAUACACCAGUGGUACUGUCGAAAAGUUCAAUACCAAGAAAUCGGUAAAUUACGUCAUAACUACCACAUCACACGAAGUACUUUACUUUAUAUCACGUAUCAAGCAGUCAAAACUCUGAAUGGGUGUAGAAAAACGAUGAGGAAAACGGGACGUGGUAUAAAAGAAUGUACAUAACGAAGUGGGCAGUGGUAUCUCCAGAAUGGAGUGGUCCUGGUACCUCGGCGAUCCUCAUGCUAGUUAUAUACUAGUAAGAAUCUCAACUUUAAGAUUAAAAGUGUAAAUUAGUUAAGGAAGUAGUUCACUCAGUAUCAUUUGGUGAUUUGUACUUAGAAUACACAUAUAUAAUGAAGAAGUAAACGGUGAAUAAAACAAGUUUUAUAAAAAUACUAUAAAGAUUUUUUCGAAUUCCAAUCUCUACGCCCCGAUAACAUCCUACCUUGUAUUUAAUUACAAUUUUAUAAAAAACUUAAAGGAAAUAUUUGAUGUUAUGUUCUAUACAAACCCGGUGUGCUAAGAUAAGGUUUUUAAAUUUGUUGAUCCGUUAACUGCUGUGUAGUUUACAAUACAUAACUAUAUCCAGUAUUACCAAAAUAAGAUACUGUUCGAAUUAAACGAAUAUUACAUUGGUAAAGUUCCUAACUGCUCAAAAAUUCGGUAUACUGGAAACGUGUGAGUUCAAUGUGCAACAUUUACCGAGUACAGAACGUGACAAAAGCGAAAGGUUCGAUGUCAGAAAACUAUAUGAGGAAGAUAUUUGAUUAUAUUCUGGUAAAUCUAGUGAUUCAAAUCGUUGGAAUUACCAAAAUAUAAUCAAAUGUCUCCCUCAUGAACUUUCCUGUAAGAAAUAUACAACAAACUAAGAUAGUCGGCAUGUUGGAUUUAAUUUUUCAUCCCUAGAUGCGUCACAUCACCUUGGUAACACGAACGACGUCAAAAUAAUAUCACAACUUUACAAAAUGAAUCAAAUAAGACAUGAAUUUUUAUAUAAAAAGGUCGGUAACAAAAGAUUUACAAAAGGAAUCAAAAUAAUAUGGACUAUACCGGAAACUUAUACGACUAUACCGGAAACUUCAAAGACAAGAUAUUGUUCGAAACGUGACCAGAUGAACUCGUACCAUACCAAGUAAGAAAAAACAACGUCGAUAAGGUCUCUUCAAAUCUCGAGGUGUUGGAAUACUUCUGAACUCAUCGUCUCUACUUUGUUAGUUAAUCUACUCUACGUAGUGUACUAAAAAAAAAGAGAACUGCAACUACCCAUAACUUGGAUAUCUAGUUGAAUAGUUACCUUGGGAAUAGUCACAACUCUUAUACCGUGUUUUUGAGUUUGUGUCCUGCUAGUCGGCUCCCUUCUUCGAUUCUUCGUAGUCCUUCCUGAAAAUCCUACCAUAACGCCAGUUUACGUAGGAUCCUAUCCAGAAAUUCUUAAUACCACACAAAGUGAGGAAAAAACAAAUGGAACGGUGUAAACAAUCGGAGUUAAACAAUAAUAGGAAGAUUUGUCCACGUCUUGAUUUUGAAUGGAUCCAACACUCUCGACUACCACUAAACUAACUUUCUAGACGAACGUAACAAACAGAGACAUCUGUUGUAUUGAUUCCGGUAUACCAAAGGUUACAGUGAUACUAGAUUUAAGAACGACUCACAUCAAAAAUUUCGUGUCUCAACGACUUUUAAAC